rnacentral:rRNA from 1 species
UACGUAGGGGGCUAGCGUUGCUCGGAAUCACUGGGCGUAAAGCGCACGUAGGCGGAUUCCUAAGUCGGGGGUGAAAUCCUGGAGCUCAACUCCAGAACUGCCUUCGAUACUGGGAAUCUUGAGUCCGGGAGAGGUGAGUGGAACUGCGAGUGUAGAGGUGAAAUUCGUAGAUAUUCGGAAGAACACCAGUGGCGAAGGCGGCUCACUGGACUGGUAUUGACGCUGAGGUGCGAAAGCGUGGGGAGCAAACAGG